AUGGGAUGGAGAUGGAUUAUUUUCUUCCUCAUUUCAGUCACUAUAGGUGUCCACUCCCAGGUCCAGCUGCAGCAGUCUGGUCCUGAGCUGGAGAAAACUGGUUCCUCAGUGAAGCUGUCCUGCAAGGCUUCAGGCUACACCUUCACUGACCACUAUAUGAACUGGGUGAAGCAGAGGCCUGGGCAGGGCCUGGAGUGGAUUGGAUAUUUUGAUACUUUGAGUGGUAAUACUAACUAUGCUCAGAAAUUCCAGGGCAAGGCCACACUGACUGCAGACACAUCGUCCAGCACAGCCUACAUGGAGCUCAGCAACCUGACAUCUGAGGACUCUGCGGUCUAUUACUGUGUGAGGCACAGUGUUGCAACCCACAUCCUGAGAUCAGGGAUGGUGCUGAGUGUCACAUUGUGGAGUCCUCAGGCUGUGGAGUCUGCUACUUUGGCAACAAUCUGGGCUCCUGCUCAGAUAGCACUGGGAAAAGAGCAGUGGAUUCCAAGCUGGGAAUGUAGAGACCUGAUCCUGUCAUCAGCAGCCCUGGGUGCUCAUUCCCCGGUUUCCCGAAAUUGGAUUCUCUUUGUCACCACCAUCCACAUAGACUGGACCAGUGAAAAUGCAUCUCACAUUUUUCAGGAAUGA